rnacentral:lncRNA from 1 species
GUAAUUCGAUGACAAGACAACAUCAAUGUGAUACCUUAAGAAUGGGAUACAUGGGGAAUCUUAAAUGAAUUGAGACCACAUGAAAGGGCUCUAAUUGAGAAACCAUGAUCCAUUCUUUCUCAUCAUGAUGUAGUAUAAAGGGGUGCUCUAGUGUUCUAGUUCAUUUUUUGAACACCGUGUACAAACUGAUUGGUGCACCCUCUGUUGGUAGCACCUGUAGGUGCCCCUAGUGCUAGGCUGCCUGUCCAUCCACCUGCGCCAUGAUCAUCCUGUAGCAAGAUGUUGUCCAUACAUAGUUUGUGUCAUGCAAGUCUCAAUCGUAUGAUAUCGACUCCGUAGUCACAGUGUAUUCAUCUUUGGUCAGUUCAUGACUUCUGAUCGGAUAUCCGAUUAGAAGAGACCAAUGUUUUCCUUUCUCCUCUCAUCUGGUUCUAGCAUCUUGUAACAUAUCUCCUGCCCACCUGUGAGAAAUCAAUGUUGACAAUAGCAUAAUAUAUUAUACCCUCGGUGAUUC